rnacentral:lncRNA from 1 species
UGUUUUCAUAUCUUUCCUCCCUCCAUCUUGAGUUUCCUGAGAGUAUCUCAGAUUUGAAACUUUUUCUUUUACUCUCUAUCUUUAGAAGAGUCCAAAUCAAGAAGAAGGAGGCACCUGAUUAACCAUCAAAGAAGGAUCAGCGCAGUACUAGCAUACUGUGCUGAUUUCCUGAAGCACGACUUCUGAUCGAGAUUCGUGGGCUCGUGUGGUUGACUCCUAGAGGCCGGAUGCGUGUGCAGCUUGCAACAUCAUCCUUAAGCCCGGAUCAGUGAGGUUAGAGCAUCUAACUUGCAAGGUAAUAGAUCUGAUCUAUUGUUUAAUACAUACAUUAGAUGAGUAUAGAAACAUGUUGAUAUGAUCAACAUGUAGUUUAUGCUAUAUUUAUAUAUUUUAAUUUCUGAUUUAAUGCUAUGUAAU